rnacentral:rRNA from 1 species
GGCAGCGGGACACUUCGGUGUUGCCGGCGACCGGCGUACGGGUGCGUAAUGCGUAUGCAAUCUACUUUACACUGGGGAAUAGCUCCCGGAAACAGGAAUUAAUACCCCAUAUUAUCUUACAAGCGCAUGUUUGUAAGAUGAAAGCUCCGGCGGUGUAAAAUGAGCAUACGUCCUAUUAGCUAGUUGGCGGGGUAAAGGCCCACCAAGGCGAUGAUGGGUAGGGGUUCUUAGUGGAAGAUCCCCCACACUGGCACUGAGAUACGGGCCAGACUCCUACGGGAGGCAGCAGUAGGGAAUAUUGGUCAAUGGGCGCAAGCCUGAACCAGCCAUGCCGCGUGCAGGAUGAAGGCUCUAUGAGUUGUAAACUGCUUUUGU